rnacentral:rRNA from 1 species
CACGUAGGGUCCGAGCGUUGUCCGGAAUUACUGGGCGUAAAGCGUGCGCAGGCGGUUGGGUCAGUCGCUGGUGAAAGCCCCACGCUCAACGUGGGAAUGGCCAACGAGACGGCCCGACUGGAGGCAGGGAGAGGCCGGUGGAAUUCCGGGUGUAGUGGUGAAAUGCGUAGAGAUCCGGAGGAACACCAGAGGCGAAGGCGGCCGGCUGGACCUGACCUGACGCUGAGGAGCGAAAGCGUGGGGAGCGAACAGG